AGACUAUGAUGAGGACACUCUAGGAUAAGGUCUUUGAAAGGUUCCAUGCAUCGAGAUAAUGGUUCAUUGGGGUGCUGGCAAAACUAGAGAAUGUCGUUCCUAAGUUU
rfam:Cephalotus follicularis DNA, scaffold: scaffold4998, isolate: St1.